rnacentral:rRNA from 1 species
GACGAACGCUGGCGGCGUGCUUAACACAUGCAAGUCGAACGAAGAGCGACGGAAGCUUGCUUCUAUCAAUCUUAGUGGCGAACGGGUGAGUAACGCGUAAUCAACCUGCCCUUCAGAGGGGGACAACAGUUGGAAACGACUGCUAAUACCGCAUACGAUCUAACCUCGGCAUCGAGGAUAGAUGAAAGGUGGCCUCUACAUGUAAGCUAUCACUGUAGGAGGGGAUUGCGUCUGAUUAGCUAGUUGGAGGGGUAACGGCCCACCAAGGCGAUGAUCAGUAGCCGGUCUGAGAGGAUGAACGGCCACAUUGGGACUGAGACACGGCCCAGACUCCUACGGGAGGCAGCAGUGGGGAAUCUUCCGCAAUGGACGAAAGUCUGACGGAGCAACGCCGCGUGAGUGAUGACGGCCUUCGGGUUGUAAAGCUCUGUUAAUCGGGACGAAAGGCCUUCUUGCGAAUAGUGAGAAGGAUUGACGGUACCGGAAUAGAAAGCCACGGCUAACUACGUG